UCUAAAUAAAAAAAACAAAACCCUAUCGUCGAAACCUUGUAGCAGUGCCGCUCCUCGUCUUCACCUCUGAUUUGUCGUCCCGUCUCGUAGGUAAGGUCGUUGUUCUUCGUUCAUGUACCUCGACAUUUCCCCAUCGCCAUCAUCGUCGUUGAACGGCAUCGGUUUGUGAAACCCGUGAGCCUUGGCUCGCUCUCGUCGCCGUGGGGGUCUCGCGUCGGUCGUGUAUGGUCGAGCACUCGUCGAGGAAGACUCGAACGACCUGGGUCGUGGCUGAACGACGUUGUUUGGCCGUGGAAAGCUUCUGCCGGUUGUUGCCCUCUUCCGUUGGCGUCGCCGAUAGCCAUUUAAUGUCAUGGCAGGGCUGAUCGUGGUAUCUUCGACCCAUGGAGACUACUGUCGGGAACCGAGUUACCUCGUCCGCCACUGUUGCCCGCGAACUUUGAACCGACCCGUAUUAAUCGUGUUGAGCGAAUUUAUUCGGUUCGAACUGUUGAUCGUGAUAGGUGCUACGACCGACAGUAGCUAUUUUUGUCAAGGUGUGUCUCUAUCUGGUGUUAAAUUAGUCUGCUAGAAUUGUUUGAUUGUCUGAAUUUGAG